UGCUUUCCGAGGUCUUGCAUGAAUAUGUUGCAUUGCAUAGCUGUCAUGGGUACCUCCUGCUCAUGCCUAACCUGGCUGUUAAAGGGUGUCUCUGGAUGGUUUUUUUUAAUGACUGUGACUGUCUGCUUUAUGACUUUUCUGGACAAGGAGGUGCUCCUCAUUCCCCUCAUAUUUACUGUAUACAUGGUGCCCCUGAAAUGCCCUGCCUUCUAAAAAAGAAUCAGAUAAAUAAAAAUGUAGGGCUGAUUCUUGUCUUGUAUCAAGGUGCUGGAGAUUAAUUGGGAGUGAAGAGUCUUCAGGCAGCUAGGACGGAAAGACAGAAGGUGUGAUGCUGCAGUAAAACCUGCCCCGUGUUCCCACCAUCUCCUCCUCUUCCCAGUCAUGACUGUAUCUCCCUUCUACCCAAAUCCUCUGGCCUACUGAUGGGCUCCUGUGCUGAAUUUUGCGUCUUAUUGCCCUGGGGUAUAUGGUGUGACUAGCAGCUCUCUCCAGUAACAAAAAUAACCCUACAACUCAAUCAAAACACUAAAAAAUUAAACCAAAUGCUGCACGUUGUCAACAUGAUAGAACAUACUUAGGCUGCUCUAUCCCAUCAUCUAGAUGCAGCAACUGAACUCGUUUUGUUGUUUUUGUUUUUUGUUUUUAUUCCAGCAUUGUAAUGUAGGACCUUGGUGUAAACACUAUCUGCUGGUGAUUAGAGGUCAUCCUGCAGCUCUCCUUUCACGAGAGCAUAAGUACAAGCAUGGAUGCUGCAGAUGUCCUUUCAGGAUUGGACAGGCUGGAUUUAAGCUGGCUAGGGGCAAUGCGCAUCUUUGGACCAGGAGUAACAGGAAUUCUGCAGAAAAGGAAGUUUCAAGAUGAGCUCUAUGUAAAAGAUCAUACAGGAUAAGCAAAGAAUGGAAGGAAAGAAACCGGUGAAGCUCACUGUUGCAGAAGCUGUCAGCUGAAUCAGCUGUGCUGCGCUGCAGCACACAUCCACAGUAGCCAUGCGGAUGCUCCUCUUUUCAGAAAGCAAUCCCUACAGCUAUUUCUUCAGUAAAUUUGUUUUUUGGAUGUGGACAGCGGCACUUCACCACGCUGCUGUGCACGCAGGAGGGACAUGAUCUGCAAAGCUUCUUCCCUGCCGUGCAAUAACACCGAGCGCCUCAUGGAAACGAGCCCAUUUCCCAUUAACAGCAGGACCUGAACAAACCCAGCAAGGCAGCGACAGCCCAUUCAUUCCAGAGCCCUUCUCCAUCCACACUCUGGAUUGCUACAGGCUAGAGCACAAACAAGAGAGUCACAACCUAUUGGUAGAUCCACGCAGUUCGAGCUAAUGCACUGCUCUUCCUCUGGAGAAACACUUCAUAUUCGCAUGCAAUUCACGAAAUUAAAAUGAACAGAGAGAAUAUCCACAAUGCCUGGAGCUGACAUUACGAUGGCCGAAAGCACUGAGUACCACUGAUUCCCAUCCUGGUUGUACACACUGUAAUUUGCUGUAACGCUGGAUGAGGCUGACCCUGACUUCAGCACUGUGCACUACAGUUGAAGAGGAAUUUGCACAGCGGAGGCCAGUUUGUAUUUACACACAUUAGAAUGUUUCAUGGGGGGAAGAACAAGAGAAGAAGUGUUUCCGCCUAGCAGAAGCACCGCCAGUGCUCAAAUCACCACCUGGCACAGCGCAGCGAGAGGAUGAACAGCACAGUAAUUGAGAAGUGUGCCCAGCAACGUGUACUUGUUACAGGUGCUCUGGAAGGGUUAGAGCUCACUUCAUUUCCACAGCCCACAGCAAGCCUGACUGCUUCAAGCUCUUCUCACAGGAUGGGGAUCACGGAGCAGCCUCAAGUGGCACAUUUUGUUCUCAGCAUGAGUAUGCAUCCUUUGGGUCUCAGGGCCUCUGCCCAAAGGCUUUCUGCCUCGCAGUCGAUUAAGAGAAGGUACAAAAUACCAGAGAAAUGGCACAUCCUAGCAAUUAUGAUAAACAAAGUAUAUAGCCAACUACUUUAAAAGCAGACUUUGAAAUGCCACUGCCUUGCUUCGUUCUGAGCACAUUCCCAGGGAGAAUGUCAGGUCACAUAACUCAUCUGUAAUCUUUACAUAGAGGAUCUCAACUAAGCAGCAGCCAUCAUAAAAAUAACCAACAUUUCUUUUUGUGGAAAACAAACAUAAAAGAAAAACACAACAUCUCUCUUACACACACACCAAACAAAAGGGCAGUUAGCACUUCAAAGAUUACUGGCUGUAAAUAGCAGUGCCAAUGCACUGGGGAGCUGUGCUCCUCUUUAGCGACAGCCCUACUUACUCCCACGGAGGCAGCGAUGUUACAGGCCUUUCCUGUGCUGCAUCGUGCAUUCAUUUAGAGUGUGCUCUUUGCAUUUUAUUUCCCUCGGUGCCUUAAAAAUACCAAGAUUUGCAGUAGUGUAAGAACAACCUUUCAAUCUAGCCUCAUAUACAGCAUUUCAAUCUAGCCGAUGGGGAGUGUUGGAAGAAAAUUGCUGUAUAGUAGCCAAGAACCCCCCCCCCUCACAUUUCUCUAUCAUCCACAGCUAGAUUCUUGCAUUUACAGCUAGCCAUUUUAAUUAUAUCUAAAUACUUAUCUCCAAGGUGGCUAUAUUAGUUGGUCUUUAAUUGUAGCGGAGCAAACACACGAUGGCUGGGUGCUCUCAUUUGCCUGUGUGCAUGGAACAAAAGAUGCUGUACUCAAUUACACAGCAAACGUCCACCAGGUACCUCUGAGACAUCCUACAUGCCACGCUAAGCCUGUGCUUCACGUGCUUAAACAGCUCUCUCUAUUGCUUUAUAGGAAGGGAGGGAAGAAGGGAAAGAGUUUUUGUUUUCUUUCUAAACCUCAUUUACAGUUGUACAGCUAAAGCUUGAAGAUUAAUAAUAAAAGUGCAUAUGUGACAAUGCAGAAAUAAAUGCCAUUCCGCGUUAAAUACAAAGCAAGAAGCAAAUUUAUUUUUUCUGUUAAUUAACCAGGCUUUCAUCUCAACUGCUCAGAUCUGUAAAUAAAGCUACUUUCAAACCAGCCAAGGAAUUAGGCAAUAAAGCAAAACAAACUCAACCAAAAUACUCCAACCCAAGAGCCUCCUAACAUGGGUUAGCUAAUUAUGUUUGCCAUUUCCUAUUCAAGGAGGUCUUCAACAGAACUUCCUAAUUGAAACGGGUUAAAAGCAACAGUACUCUGUUGGCAGCCUCAGGGUGAGCACCACCAAAUGAUCCCAAGCACUGCCAAGGAGCAAAGGGCAUCCCCAGAUAUUCUGCAAGGGGAGAUAAGUGGAAGGGAGGAUGGACAGACAGGCAGAAAUGGGAGAAGAAAGAAUGAACGACUGAUCCCUACCAUUAAUAUUACAUCCUCCUGCAGCUAUGCCUCCCCUCUGAGGAUUUGCUUUCCAAGCUCUUUAUUGAAA